UUCUGACCGUAAACGAUGCCAACUAGCGAUCCGCCGGUGGAUUUUUAGCCCUGGUGGGUAGCUUCCCGGAAACGAAAGUCUUCCGGUUCCGGGGGAAGUAUGGUUGCAAAGCUGAAACUUAAAGGAAUUGACGGAAGGGCACCACCAGGAGUGGAGCCUGCGGCUUAAUUUGACUCAACACGGGGAAACUCACCCGGCCCGGACACCGUAAGGAUUGACAGAUUGAUAGCUCUUUCAUGAUUCGGUGGUUGGUGGUGCAUGGCCGUUCUUAGUUCGUGGAUCGAUUUGUCUGGUUUAUUCCGAUAACGAGCGAGACUCUAGCCUACUAAAUAGUAACGGGAUUAUCAAUGUCCCAGUUGCUUCUUAGAGGGAUUUUCGGUGUUUAGCCGCACGAGAUUGAGCAAUAACAGGUCUGUGAUGCCCUUAGAUGUCCGGGGCUGCACGCGCGCUACACUGGCGAAAUCAGCGUGCUGUAUCCAUUCUCGAAAGGGAUUGGUAAACCCAUGAAAAUUUGCCGUGCUUGGGCAUCGGAAAUUGCAAUUAUUUUCCGUGAACGAGGAAUUCCAAGUAAGUGCGAGUCAUCAACUCGCUCUG
rnacentral:rRNA from 1 species